CAUGUUGGACCACUAAGUUCCUACAGGAAAAACUACACCGUUAGAUGACACUAAACCCUACAAACUGGUCUUUUGAGUACAUUUUAAGUAUAUUGUAAUACUAGUACUUUGACUUUCUGCUGCAGUAACAGUAGUUGCUGUAACCACUAGUUAGUACUACUGAAGGUGAUCCUUGUGGUAUCAGAGUUUGAUACAUAUUAUCUCCCUCAGGCUGGAGUUUCUAAAUAUUAAAGUCUGAAUAGGCCCAAAGCUGGAUGUGGCACACCUCUUCCCUGCAGCUGAUGCACCACUCCCCUUCCACACUAGAUUUUCCUCCAUCACGGUGGUCUGAUUACCCACAGACACCAAACACCUCACAUGUGUAAAGAAUGUGUUUCUGCCAUCGCUGAAAAUAGUCCUGUUUUUCACCUCCCCCUCCUCCAAGCAUCAUCAUUCAUCAUUGUUUAAUUUCUGCCACAUAACACUGUGGCAUCCAUUUACCCUCCAUCCCUCUCUGGACCACACUGUGCUAUAUUUGUCUCUUUAAUGAGGAAGGGGCAUUCCAGAGACUUUCUGGGUAAUCACAGUGUCUGGCACAAAAGGCAUCCAGAGGGGUCUCACCGGGCCUCAGUGUCAAAUUCGGAUUUACUUUCCUCUCAUUUCAGAAGGCAACAACAAGCUUCAAACGGCCCGAGUUUGUUCGUCCGAAGUUGAAGUUUACAACAAAAAAAGCAACCCAGUGCUCAUGAAAGCAGGAGCAGUGCUGUGACGGGGUUAUGGUCCCCGUAACGAGGCAGACUCUGGUGUCAGGGCAGUAAUGAGGCGAGUUGUGAGCUGAGGAGUUCGCCGCUGAUGACGAUCCAGAGGAUUCUUAAUAGACAGCUGUUGGUGUGGCGUAAAGAGAAGCCCUGCUGAUCUGUUUGACAGCUGUGACCCGCCAUAGGCUGGGCCAGCGCCAGCCCUGCUCAUGGAUCAGGCGCCUUCAAAGCCAAAGGGAAGAUGCAAGUGGACAUGAACAGAUGGAAGUUCUCUCUGUGAAAUUUGGGAAAAGACUGAAUGAGGUGAAGAUGAUUUGACUUGAGUGAAAAAUUCACACUUAUGCUGAAGCUGUUUGACUCCACAUAAUGAACGUACACAGAUGAGAGUGAGAAGAGGAGAAGCUAGAGGGCAAACACUAUUUAAGCAGACUAACAAUCAUAACCAAUUCUGUUGACACAGUUUUAUGAACCUGAUGGAACUGAUUCUAUUUAGGUCAAUAAAGCUGUAAACGAAGACUGUUUAACACUGCACAAUUUAUUAAAUGUCUGAUUGAUGUGUAUUAAUCUCUGAACACUGCCAGAAACUGACUGACCUAUGCUGCAGUGCUGCACCUAAAUGCAUCCUGUGAAGCUCCUGUUGUGCUGCAUUAAUCACCCUGUAGUGAAUGUAGAAACGUAACUCUUAUAUAAACCUUGUCUAUAUCAGCCGCUGAUAUAGACAAGGUUUAUAUAAGAGUUUGCAGUGGUUAACACUGUUGCCUCACGACAUGAAGAUUUCUGUUUUGAAACAAGUUUGAGUUAGAAGUACGUUUACCAGAUGUCUGAGCCUCGUCCCGUCCUCUUCAAAUACGAUUUCAGCUCUUCCCUUCAAAUUAAACUUGUUGU